rnacentral:hammerhead_ribozyme from 1 species
GCACUACUGAGGAGUCCAACAAUAGGACGAAACAACUGUGCAGUGC